GAUGAACGCUGGCGGCGUGCCUAAUACAUGCAAGUAGAACGCUGAAGGAGGAGCUUGCUCUUCUGGAUGAGUUGCGAACGGGUGAGUAACGCGUAGGUAACCUGCCUGGUAGCGGGGGAUAACUAUUGGAAACGAUAGCUAAUACCGCAUGACAACAGUUAUUGCAUGAUAACUGUUUAAAAGUGGCAACUGCUCCACUACCAGAUGGACCUGCGUUGUAUUAGCUAGUUGGUGAGGUAACGGCUCACCAAGGCGACGAUACAUAGCCGACCUGAGAGGGUGGUCGGCCACACGGGGACUGAGCCACGGCCCAGGCUCCUACGGGAGGCAGCAGUAGGGAAUCUUCGGCAAUGGACGGAAGUCUGACCGAGCAACGCCGCGUGAGUGAAGAAGGUUUUCGGAUCGUAAAGAUCUGUUGUAAGAGAAGAACGAGUGUGAGAGUGGAAAGUGCACACUGUGACGGUAUCUUACCAGAAAGGGACGGCUAACUACGU
rnacentral:rRNA from 1 species